UGGCCAAGUUUUUAAGGGCGCACGGCGGAUGCCUUGGCACCAGGAACCGAUGAAGGACGUGAGAGGCCGCGAUAGGCCCCGGGGAGCUGCCAACUGAGCUUUGAUCCGGGGGUGUCCGAAUGGGGAAACCCGG
rnacentral:rRNA from 1 species